rnacentral:rRNA from 1 species
GACAGAAGGGGCAAGCGUUGCUCGGAAUUACUGGGCGUAAAGGGCGCGUAGGCGGAAUGGCAAGUCGGUCGUGAAAUCCUUCGGCUCAACCGAAGAACGUCGAUCGAAACUGCCGUUCUUGAGGAUUGCAGAGGAGACUGGAAUUCCCGGUGUAGCGGUGAAAUGUGUAGAGAUCGGGAGGAACACCGGUGGCGAAGGCGGGUCUCUGGGCAAUUCCUGACGCUGAGGCACGAAGGUCAGGGGAGCAAACGGG